rnacentral:rRNA from 1 species
UACGGGGGGGGCAAGCGUUGUUCGGAAUUACUGGGCGUAAAGGGCUCGUAGGCGGCCAACUAAGUCGGACGUGAAAUCCCCAGGCUCAACCUGGGAACUGCGUCUGAUACUGGAUGGCUUGAAUCCGGGAGAGGGAUGCAGAAUUCCAGGUGUAGCGGUGAAAUGCGUAGAUAUCUGCAGGAACACCCGUGGCGAAGGCGGCUGGCUGGACCGCAACUGACGCUGAGGAACGAAAGCUAGGGGAGCAAACAGG